rnacentral:rRNA from 1 species
GAGAAGGCGUCGGUGCCGGAUGGUUUCACGUGCACUUUCUUCAGGGCAUGUUGGGGCACGAUCAAGGGUGACAUUAUGGUCGUGUUCAACAAGUUCCAUUGCCUUGCAGCGGGGGAUUUCCGAGAAAUCAACGAGGUAAUGGUCACUCUGUUACCAAAGAAAAGCGAGGCUAUGCAGAUGGGGGAUUUCCGGCCAAUUAGCCUCAUCCACUCGGUCGCCAAACUAAUUGCUAAGGUACUCUCCAUGAGGCUGGCGGGCGUCAUCGAUCAGUUGAUUUCGCCAGCACAGAGUGCCAUACAGAAGCGCAAGGGGAUACAUGACAGCUACAUGCAUGUCCAGAACACGGUCAAGCUACUGCACAGGACAAACAAAGCUGCACUUCUGAUGAAAUUGGACAUAGCCAAGGCCUUCGACAGUGUAUCUUGAGAAUACCUCAUGGAACUUAUGCAAAAGCUCGGCUUCCUUGUGCGCUGGAGGGAUUGGGUUGCUCUCCUACUGUCAUCGGCGACUUCUUCAUGCUUCUUGGAUGGCGUCGAGGGCGCGCCCAUCCUGCACAGGAGGUGGCUGCAAGAGGGCGACCCGCUAUCACCGUUGUUGUUCAUUCUAGCGAUCGACCCGUUGCAUAGACUGAUCGAGACGACAUCGCGCGCAGGGUUGCUCCAACACAUGCCGGCGGGCGCCGGUCUGCUUCGUGUCAGCCUCUAUGCUGACAACGUAGUCGUCUUCAUUAAUCUAGUAUGA